rnacentral:lncRNA from 1 species
GGAACCUGCAGUCUGGUGGUGUGUACAAGCAGCCUGUUGCAUCCAGCGUACACAGUAAAAAAUGGCGGAGUUGCGUGAAUGAACUCAGAUCCAGGGUGAUUCACUGUGUCCUGUUGCCUCCCUAAGACAUUGGUGAGAGUAACCCUGCCUGGGCCCUGUGCUUUAGGGGGGCUUGCGUUUCACAGAUGCAGAAAGUAAGUUUAUUUGGGUAGCACACGAUGCACUCUGUCUCUUGGAGCUCAGUAUCAGCAUACAGCGACUUCUAUCCUUAAACAUCCACUCUCGUGACAAACACCAUUCAGGCCCCAGGGAAACAGUUCUUCACAAUUCUGACCUCACGUCCUCAACAUAACAGACGACUGUGUUGGAAGAUAACAAAGGUUUGCAGGCUGGGCCACUGCAGACUUUGAAGAUGAACCUGCUUUGGGAGACAAGGAGGAUGUGAGCUGCAGAGAUUCUGCAGUUGAAGGCCACAUGUAACACGCCGGCCUCUGUUUGAUCUCCCCUCCGCCCGCAAACGUCAAGAGAAGACCUGCUGAGCUGGAACUCUCCUCUGCCUCCAUACGAACGAAUUUCUUCUGGUUCUGGAGAGAGUGAACGUUUUCACGGUCAAAGAAGGUACUAGGAAUUUGAAUUUUGAACUUGACUGCUUAGGAGAAGAAACCAGAAUUUCAUCUAGGAACGUGCCAAAUCCGCCCAUGCCUUUCCACGUUGCUUGUGGCCACUUCCUUUGUACACAUUUAAAUCUUUCCUCCCCACCCUUAUGCGUUUUCUGUUGAAUGAUAAUAUUCCCUGGAUCCUGAUUUAGAAAUAAAUGUAAGUGUUAACAGCUGGCCUUUGGAGUCAGGCAGAAUGAGUUUUUGCAUUGACUCUGUC